UUACCUUUAGAAUUCAGAAAGCAUUUUGGCAAUGUCUUAAGAGUGUAGGAAUUCAAACACCAUAAGCAAUCGCAAGAAUACCAGAGCUGCUUUUGAACAACAGGAUGUAGAUACAAGUUCUGUCCUGAACCAAAGCAGCAUAGGUCGGACUAGGUACAUUGUUCAAAAAGAAGAUAGAAAAGCAAACCAAACUGUUCUGUACUUGAUAUAACAGAAUUUUAAAAGGGGCCUAACUGAGGAUGAAUCUUCCUAGAACAGUGAUGCAAACUAAUUGAUUUUGAAUUCCUUCUGAACACAACUGACCUCUGUACCACAGCAGUGCAAAACCUAUCUGUAACUGCAAACCUGCCUUAAAACUUAAGAGUUUCCAGGUUUACAAGAAACGCACACCUCGUGAGCUGAGUAUAUGCACAAACGUCAAUCACACACAGAAGAGGUACUGAUUUUUCAGGCUUUUUCUCCAAACAAUCUGUAAUCUUUUCUAGUCUAUAAUGAAAGCAGGAGAAAGUGAAAGCAUUUUUAUGUUCAUAAAUUCAUUAUUGCAUCUUUGUCAUUACAGCUAUUUGUCACCACGAUUAGUACGUGUGUGUCUGCAGUGGGCUGAAAGAGUAAGACUGAGCAUUCACGAGGCUGAAUGGUUCCAUUGUCAGUCUUGCUGAAAACUUGAUUUCCUACAGACCUCACACUGGGAUUAUAGAACACACAGCCUUUGCUCUUGCGUCCUUAUUAAAACCACUGCGCAGCUGAGAGUAAUCUCUCCCUCAACAUGGAUUUGCCUACCUGUAAAUGGGAAGAUAAUUCGUAACCAAUUUACUGCCUCACCAUAGUCUCCUGAUCAGAGGAGACUACUAGAGUUUCAGACAGAAAACCUCAUUUUUCAUUCGGCUCCUGAAGCUUGAAAGAAGACUUACAUAUGAAAAGAGAGAGGAAGGCUUAUAACAGGAGAUGUUCUACAUGAAUGAAGCAUAUCAAGGUGUCCUUUGUAGGAACAAUCCAGCAGCUACUCAGUAAACUCACCAUCACUGUAAGUAAAUUCGGCAAUCAGAAAAUUACUAUAAUUUGUCAAAACUGUUAUCUCUUUCCCCUGGUAAUCAGCUAAAUGCAUGGGAAGAAACUUUAAAUGGAAUCAUCUGCACCCCUGAGUGCGUAUAUGUGUUUUGUACAGUGUAAUGAAUUUCUCACCAACCAGAUCAGAAUACUCGUGAGCACUCUGCAUAUUUAAAAUGUUUCCUAAGUUUUAUGUGCCAGAAAGGACCCUUAGCGUGGGGAACCGAUUGCUGUACAGUUUUUCUUGCAGAACUGGCUUUUUCACAGCAGCUGACUAACAUUACUAUAUUUUACCAGGAAUAGUACACUACACUAUCUUCUAUACUAUCAGCAUUUCUUUUACAUUCAGCAUGGUUAUAAUACAAGUUUCCAUUCUUUGGAGGUUUUUAUUAUUCUAGAUUUCUCAUUAAGGAUUUGAAGGAAUAUAACACUUUCCUUAUUCAAUUAAAAUAUCCCGUGUUCGUGAUUUCAUUGAUAGAAAAGGAUGUUUAAAAUCAACAUUUAAAACCAUAUCAACCUAUGAAUGUAUGUGUUUAUGAAAUCCUAAGCCCCUUUAGGAUGGUGAUUAAAUGACUUAAAACUCAGAUACAAAAAGAUCAGGACAUAUGCUUAGGGGGCUAUAGAUUGAUUAUGUCCUUGCCCACCUUCAGAUCAUGCUGACUCUCCUUAGGACCUCUGAUAAUCUCCUGCCUAAAAAGACUGCAGGAUGUAAACCAAUGUACCAUAUCUCACAACAUAUCUCUGGUGUCGUGUUGUCCCAUGUCCAUUUUCUGACUAGAGAGGAUUUGCCCAAGAGAGACUGAGGCAAAGUUUGAGAGGUUGAAGUAUCAGUCUUUCCCUUUUGAACCAUUUUUAGCUCUGUGUCAUUGGAAAGGAAGUACUUUAGAUGAGCAAAACUGAUUCAUGAAUCUAAUGGGCCAGUUCUUGCUUAACCAUUUAACCUUAUUCCCACUUCACAUUCCCUUCAGAUUUGAACUGUUGAAUGAAGUCGUGCUUCACCUUCCAAAAUACUGAAGUACAUAGUUUCUUAUAGAGAAAUGCUUUUAUAGAUUCUUCCAGAAAUUACUGCAUUAUAAGAGUAUCAGUUUGCUCUUAGUACAUUGCAUGUAAAGUGUUGCUUUGAUAUCUUUUAGAUCAUACAAUCCCAUACAAGUGCAAAUUCUUUUUAUGUAAUUACAGUAAUUGUCAGGAACUACAGACUUUGCAAUAAACUGUUAGAGGUGGCAGAAAUCUGUUCUUGCAGAGAAGAAAAGAGAAAAUGGAAGGAUCUGCAUGCUUAGCAUUAAAGAAAUGAUUAUAGUGAUUAUGGAUUUCUUAGUUAUAGAACUCACAGAACAAAAGUGCCUGUAAGAAAGAUUUAAUGUCUUACUGUGCUUUUAUUCCUGUAUGUGCCUGUUCUAUUUACUGUACGUAAGACCUUUCCAAAUGAUAAUGUGUGUGUGAUGCAAAGGAUGGAAGAGACUGAACAAAUCAGAACACUUCUACUGUUCUAAAAGGACCAAGAAAGAUUUAUUUCAGCUGAAAGUCUCAUUAAUGGCUUCUAACCUGUUCCAGAUAUGGAUAUUGCAUUCAAUUACUUUUAAUAAUUUGCCAGUGUGAAGAGCAUUUCACAACAAGAUGAUCAUCAUUCAAAACAAAAUGAACAUCAGUUUCAUAAUUCAAAAUAGAAAUAUCUCUCCUGUGAUGCAGUUUGGCUUGAUCAGAGUCUGACCUUUCCACAUGCAAAACAUACUUAAUAAAAGAAUUAUUUGUGGUAUUGUCUCUAUCCCAGACAGCAAAAACAGUAUGAUACGUGGUUAAGGCUCAGAGUGUGUUUAGUGGUGCCUGAAGAAGCACUGGGGUGGGCGUGGUAUAUUCUUUGUACAUUUACAAGAGCUGUUUUUUUCCUCUCCUAUUCACCCGACAACUGCCCUCUGCCUGCAACAGUUGGAUGCUCUUAGUUCAGUCCAUCUGAUUUUUCAUUACAUCUUUAUUGUUCUCUGUCCACGAAACUGAAUAGAAAUGGCUGCCAGAGGAUUUAAACCUGUUCAGUGAAGCUUACGCUUUUUAAAGAGUACACAGCUAUGUGAGCAGGAGCUCAAAGAAUCCACCUGUCCCCUAACAAUGCUGGGUUUUUCUAGUUUCCAUUUUAAAAACAGAACUCAAAGUUAUUCAGUAUCAAGAAGUCUUUUACUGAAGGAUUACAACUCCAGACCUUUACCAGGGCUACAAACAGUUAAUGUAGUACUGGCUGGUAAGGACUUUAAAAACUAAUAUCUGAGGGCAAUAGAACUAAGGGUACCAGAGUUUCAGUUUGGUUUUUGUGAUGUGACUUCAGACAAAUACUUUAAAAUCUUGAUUCCUCACCUGUGAAAUGAAAAUAGUCUCUUGUUCCCUCAGAGGGGAAUCACUGUAUGAGCCAUUAGGCUAUUCCCUACUUGAGCAAUAUAAGAUACUAAAUAACUAAUUAGCUGUGCCACAAGAAGUUGAAUUUGUCUGUGUCAUAAGUAGCCUGGAAGCUACUCAUUUCUUCUUCGUUAGUAACAAUAAUGCUUCACUGUUUUGAAAUUGUGAAAUGUAUUCAGAUUUUCUCUCUGCCCCAUGAAACUUCAAUGCUGGGUCUGGCACAAGAAGAAGGCGGCUGAUACAAUGCAGGAAGAGGCUGCAGAAGCCCCACAUGGAGAGCAUUUAUCAGAGUUCACCAGUGAAAGGCUUUUUUUGUAUGCAGUACGUUUGAGCAAGCUGGAAAAACUAAUAGCUUUGACUUCAGGAGGCCAGACAGUCAGUAGACAAGCACUGUGCAGCUCUCCAGACCGCCCUGCGAAGGCUCCUCAGUUCUUGCCCUCAACACUCCUAUUAUUCCCUUGCAAUUGCUGCCAGUUGGCUUGGUAACUGUGGGCAUAUUUGAACAGCUGAAUUCUUCUCUCAGUUACACUUGGCACCACUAUGGACUUCAGGGGAGCUACAGGGUGUAACCAAGGGCAGAACUUGGCUCCAGGCACCCACUACAAACCAGGUCAAGGCCACCAAAUGCAUUUUUAUCAUUUAUGUUUUAAUCCACAUCACUUGCAAAAGGAACCCGGAACGUUAACUGUAUCACCUGGCUUCCUUCAGUUGGGCAUAAGAUUAUGCUGUAUGUGAAGAUUUGUCAGCGCGCCAGCAAGUACACAUUUCUUGUACCUGGAGCGCAGACUCACUGUCACUCAUGCUGCAAUCUACCCACCUUCAAGUCUACUCAUGCUGAGCUAAGCCAUCUUCCAGAGCUGUACUUGACACAGUGCUUUGUUUUAACCACAUCUUUUUAUUUCAUAAAACAGAGCUAAGUAUCCUGAAACUAAGGGAGUAUUUUUCAUGCUGCUAUAAUUUGUGAAAUAAUGAGACAUUUUGGUCUGUUAACUCCUCUUAAGUCUCACCACAAUGUUAUGCUUUGACUUCAUUUGUGGUUGCAAAAUAUUGACUUUUCUCUUUAGCAGAUUAUAUGAAGCUGUGUAUUUUGUUUUGGGAGAUAUACACAUAUAUUUAUAUAUAUAUUUAAUCUUAGUAGAAGCUGUCAGUAAAGUUACCUUUGUGCUCUAAUCUGUUUUUGGACCCUCUUUAAAAACAUUUACCAGGAUAUUGUGAAUUUAUUUGCUGAUCCUAUCUUUUCUCAAAGAAAACUUAGGAUAUAAUGACGAUUUUUUUUUUCACUACACAGGUCAGAUGCACAGAAAUCAGUCUUCACUUGUAUGGGGACUAUAUUCCCCAAACAAUUAUUUAGCAACAUUAAACCUUCCCUCAUUAGAUAUCAUUGACACAAGUAGGCUUUUCAAAAACUGCCAGAAGAAGUUAGAAUUUGAAGCCUUCUAAAAAGUUUGCUAGGACAAACUCCAUAGUAAGGGAGACAGUACUGUCUACUUAGGAUUUAAACAGCAGCAUACCUGGGCUUACUCUCCUUCCUUUUCAACGGACAUAUACUGGGUUCAGUUGCCAAAAACCUGAUCAUUACUGAUUUAUCAACUGAUCUGCUAUCCAAGCAAAAUUUGGAUAUUGAAGAUGCAGUCCAAAAUGCAGCAGCCACAGCGUUCAGGGGGAAGAGGGAGGAGUGAGGGCAAAAUUCUAAUUUUCCACAAGGCAAAUCUUGGAAAAGGAUGAAUUAAUUUAAGAAACAACAGGUGCAUAUGGCUUCCAAACGUCUCAGGUUUAUUUGAGCUUGUGAGGAAAAACAAUGUGUUUUGCCAUUGUCUUUGAUACCUAGUGCUGAUCAACUACUUUCUUCUAGUAGAGUUCCUGGAUUUCUCAGGCUUAAAUUACACAGGACCCUCAAAAACUUGAUUCCAGGAGAGUCUGGCACUGGUCUUUCACCUCUAGACAAUAAAAUCCAGUUUUGCUGAGAAACCUUAAACUACUACUUCUGAACCAAACAUUAAAGUCUACACUAAAGAAUUUCAAAACACACACUGAGGUGAUAUUACAAUAAUCAUGUAUAUUUUAAUCAAACACUUUCAGGUCUAGCCAGGGAUAAAAUCCUACAUAGUAAUAUUUAUCUAGUGAAAACAUGAUACACGCCCCAGAAAUUCCAGGCUAAGAGAAGUGAAACACUACAUAGUCAACCUCUUUUUCAAAACACACAGCCAAGGCUUUACUUGUGCCAGUGAUCGUUUUCCUGGGUGUAAAGAGGAACAGCAGACACAGAGCUUUUUAUCAUACGCAUGCUUCGUCACUGUACUCCAGAGGGCAGCAUGGUAAUACCUAUGAGAUUUGUCUAUCAAGUCAAGCUGAAACCUCCCAAUUUUCAUAUUAAAAAUAAACAUUAAAUUAUUUACUAAUAUUUUCAACAGAGAAGCCAUCAAAUAUACAAAAGUAACAUCUGAGGAAAAGCUGUUCAGACUUCAUAAGUACAAAUAUUAAAACAGUUUAUAAGGAGAUGAGGUUUAAAUGAAAAGUAUCAGUCUUCCUAUACAAUAUUGUAGUUUUAUUAAAGGAUUGCAUAUUCUCAAGCUAAAUUCAAACAGAAAACAAACUAAAAAUAGCUUUCUUUUUAUAAAAAAAUGUGAUAUUUUCUGAUGGUUUCCAUGUUCAGCCUCUAUUAAUACAUUAACUGCAAGUUUAUCAUAUCCUGUAUUAAAGUGCAUUCUUCAAAGCCAAAGAAAUGUAGGAAAAUGCUGCUUGAUAAUGACUUUCAAAAACUGUAAUAAGAGAAGAAAAAACCAAACUUCUAAAUACUUUACUUCAGAAAACAUUAGCUGUUUGCGCUUCAGGCUCUUGGGUGCUUUUAGAAAAUGCAACCUAAGAAAUCACCUUCUUUGUUUCUGUGAUUUGUAUUUAAGAGAGAUCUUAAUGAAAAUCACAGCUCUUCGCAGCAGAAAAAAUAGGCAUCCAGAAAGCGCACCCAAAAAUUUGAAUCAAUUUUCCAUCGUACUUCUCUCCAAAGUAGUAAGCUCAUUCUGGGUUACUAGGGGGAGUGCAAAUCUGAAUAGCAGAAUAUUGUAACCAUUAAAAAGCGUAUGGAGUGUUGCUUUGCUUAUUAUGGAUUUUAUCAGAGCUUUGUUGAGUGAAGCAGCAAUUAAACUAAAUAUGCUGUCCCAGAAACCAUUUAUGAGCAGACUAUACUGAGAGAGACUAUGGCUUGCGUUUCAAAACGUUCUAGGCUUUCUUUUCAAUGGUUGUGGAGAACCGAGUAUGGGUCUCUUCACAAAAGAUCUGGUGAAGCCAAAAACCUACUGUGUCAGAUGUUUAGAAUUUUUGGUCCUGCACCACUUGCGCAACACAGAAGCCUUCUCAAGGAAUUCUGGGGAAAGCUACCUUUGUCAAAGUUUUAACAACUCAGGAUCUCUUGAAGGAAAAGCAUGCAGAAUCACUUCUAUUCUGAGGCCUUCUCAGUCCUAAGCAGUGCUAGGGCUCUACCAACACAGAACACCUAAAGAUGCUGCAAUACUUUUGCCCGCAGUCUCCCCUUGAAAGAACUAUGUGUUAAAGGAAGGCUCAGUACGGGGGAAAUAAGUAAUUAGAAUCUGUAAAUAAUUAAUCUUAGAGAAAGGCUGGCUAAAGAUAACAUCUUGCAAGGGAAAAUACUUUUUCUGCAAUCUUAAAAGCCAUAGAUACUGCCAGAAUAUGUUUUUGACAGUUCGUUAUCUGCUAGCCCUGCCCAUAGAAAUAGGGGUUUUUUUGGCCAAGUUCUGCUUCACUGUUUAUCUGUGUCAUGCAGGCCCAGCAAAGCUGCUUUCAUUUCCUUUUGUCCACUCACUUGUUAUGAAAAUAGAUUUUAAUAGUCUAGUCAGGAAUUUUAAUAUAUGAGACUCAAACUGCGUGCAACAUUUGCUGACCACGUUCCCACAAGCACCAACCUUGGCAGCACCAGCAUUGUUUAGCAAUCAAGUCUCAUACUUCCAUGCGCAUCUAUCAUGAUUACAGUGGAAAUGUAGACAUAGACAAAUGUGGACAGAGACAAAUUGUGAUAAAAAUUUAUGGUAAUUUUGUAUUCAACUGACCUCUUCAAUUAAACUACGAUAAAAGCAUUUUCUUUACACAAUAAGAGCAGCAAUGUGAUUUGUCACAAAACUGACAAGAAAGUAAGCUUUUGUAGGCAUAGCAUUCCCUUCAGACUUAAGAUCUGCAUUCAGCCUCACCUUCAUAAAUAUUUUUUGUUUUGCAGAGAAAAAAACACCUUUCCUAUGCUAUGUUUCUCCAUGUGCACAACACACCCUCUUUCUGUCACGCUAACCAGCAAGAAGCUUGGGACAGAGACUGUGUAAUUACACUCUUUGCAGAACCUUGUAGCAGUGUUGGUUGAUCUCAGCUGAGG